AGCACCUAAAAGCGUUUUCUUGCCAGCCCAUUAAAUGCUGUUGAAAAUCGUAGAUGUGUGCCAAAGAGAACUUCUCGCAAUAGCAAAGUGAUCGGAGAUCCAUUGAUGACUCUUGUCCGUUUACAUUGUGAACAGCA
rnacentral:snoRNA from 1 species